UACGGAGGGUGCAAGCGUUGUCCGGAUUUAUUGGGUUUAAAGGGUGCGUAGGUGGCUUGUUAAGUCCGGGGUGAAAGCCCACAGCUCAACUGUGGAACUGCCCUGGAUACUGGCGAGCUUGAGUCCAGACGAGGUUGGCGGAAUGGAUGCUGUAGCGGUGAAAUGCAUAGAUAGCAUCCAGAACCCCGAUUGCGUAGCAGCUGACUAGGCUGGUACUGACACUGAGGCACGAAAGCGUGGGGAGCGAACAGG
rnacentral:rRNA from 1 species